rnacentral:sRNA from 1 species
AAGAAAGGCACAUAAUAUUAUUUA